GGGGUAUGCGUAGCGAAUGCGAGUCUUAAAAGGCGUUUGAGUCGCGUGUCCUGGACCCGAAGCGGGAUGAUCUAGCCCUGAGCAGGUUGAAGCGCGGGUAAGACCGCGUGGAGGACCGAACCCACCUGGGUUGAAAACCGGGGGGAUGACCUGGGGCUAGGGGUGAAAGGCCAAUCAAAUUCCGUGAUAGCUGGUUCUCUCCGAAAUGCAUUUAGGUGCAGCGUC
rnacentral:rRNA from 17 species